rnacentral:rRNA from 1 species
CCUACGGGAGGCAGCAGUGAGGAAUAUUGGUCAAUGGGCGUAACCCUGAACCAGCCAAGUCGCGUGAGGGAUGACGGCUCUAUGGGUUGUAAACUUCUUUUAUAAGGGAAUAAAGUGAGGGACGUGUGGCGUAUUGCAUGUACCUUAUGAAUAAGGAUCGGCUAACUCCGUGCCAGCAGCCGCGGUAAUACGGAGGAUCCGAGCGUUAUCCGGAUUUAUUGGGUUUAAAGGGAGCGUAGGCGGCCUUUUAAGCCAGGUGUGAAAGUCUUGGGCUCAACCUUAGAACUGCAGUGGAAACUGGGGGGCUUGAGUAUGCUUGAGGAAGGCGGAAUGCGUGGUGUAGCGGUGAAAUGCUUAGAUAUCACGCAGAACCCCGAUUGCGAAGGCAGCCUGCCAAGCCAUUACUGACGCUGAUGCACGAAAGUGUGGGUAUCGAACAGGAUUAGAUACCCUGGUAGUC